rnacentral:rRNA from 1 species
AAGUAAAAGUCGUAACAAGGUUUCCGUAGGUGAACCUGCGGAAGGAUCAUUAUAUAUACAUUGGACACUAUUGUGCUCCAUGAUCUAAACUCCCUCUGUGUACCAAUCCAUGUUGCUUUCCCAGGUGGCGGGUCAUCUGGGAAAGGAUCUCUUAAAACCGAAUCAAUUGAAUCAGCUGUCUGAGUUGGCCCAGUGCCAUAUAUGGUUUAAACAAGUUAAAACUUUCAACAACGGAUCUCUUGGUUCUCGCAUCGAUGAAGAACGCAGCGAAAUGCGAUAAGUAAUGUGAAUUGCAGAAUUCAGUGAAUCAUCGAAUCUUUGAACGCACAUUGCGCCCCUUGGUAUUCCUUGGGGCAUGCCUGUUCGAGCGUCACUGCAAACCCACUCAUAAAUAUUGUGGUAUUGAUGGAAGUGAACUGAGUCAAACAAUGUACUUGGGUCACCCCAUUGAAAUGCAUAGGCAGGACAAUAAACCUCUGCAAUGAACUUAGUAACUGUCUGAAAGACACAAACCAGUUUGUUGUUGGGUUCAGACCUGGCUUCCAUGGACCUCCAUCCAAGACAAAUUCUGGGUUGACCUCGGAUCAGGUAGGGAUACCCGCUGAACUUAAGCAUAUCAAUA